AUCACUAAGUUCUCUCUGCCAUUUGAAAUAACUCAGUUAGUUUACAGUAUCGUAAAAUAUAACAAAAUUGAAAAGCCUUUUUCUUGUUUUAGAUAUUCCGAGGAUUAUCUUUGGGUCUUUGACAGCCUAAAAUUUUAGGUGUGCAGAAGCAAUGCUUUGAUACGAAUCAAGAGAAAAUUUAUCCGUAGUCUGGAGGAAAGAGCAGUGUCUCCGGCCUUCCUCGACUCUCACAGACCGGAGAGAUUAAUGAGCUGCAAACAGAUGUUAUACAAGAAGAAUCAUGUGCAAGAAAGAAAAUUUCAGAGGGGGGCUUCAUUCUUGGUCAUGAUGGGAUUAGAAGACACAAUAUAAACGACGUCAUGAAAAGACUCGGUUGAGUGCCAACAAAUGUAUAUUCUGGUCUAGAGCGGUAGGUGGCCGAAUCGUUAAGGUCACGAAUGAAAUACUAUGCAAGCUUUCGUCGUGCUUUCCACAAUAUGAGUUCGAAUUUCAACUACAACUUUCAUAACUCCGGGACCAAUAAAAUAUCUGUCAUGUACGGGGAAACCAUACUUCUACCAAAUUUGAGGAAUUUUAACUAUGCUAAAAAUUAAUUAUUUGCAUUAAUCUCAGACAUUAGACUGCAGUCAUGUUCGUGCACAAUUUUCGAGGACGUCAGAAAGUAUAUGGAUUCCAAUACAUCGUUAAUUGUACUUCAAGAGAUUUCCCAAUGAGGACAUGAAUAAUGUAGGCCAAAGCAAGGCAAUGUGGAAGAAACAAUGCGUCUGAUGCUGCCCUUUGACUUUACCGUUCCAGAGCCAAUAAAAGUGGAUCUUUAAAAUGUUUAAAUAUCAAGAAAUAGUACAUUGGGAUACCAUCGACGUGUUUCCAAGAACCACCAGGGAUUUGAGGGUAUAUACACAUACACACAUACACACACACACACACACAAAUAUAUAUAUAUAUAAAUAAUAAUAAUAACAAUAAUAAUAAUAAUAAUAAUA